rnacentral:rRNA from 1 species
AACGAACGCUGGCGGCAGGCCUUAUACAUGCAAGUCGAGCGCAUCCUUCAGGAUGAGCGGCGGACGGGUGAGUAACGCGUGGGAAUGUGCCCUUCUCUACGGAAUAGCCACUGGAAACGGUGAGUAUACCGAUACGCCCUUUAGGGGGAAAGAUUUAUCGGAGAAGGAUCGGCCCGCGUUAGAUUAGAUAGUUGGUGGGGUAACGGCCUACCAAGUCUACGAUCUAUAGCUGGUUUUAGAGGAUGAUCAGCAACACUGGGACUGAGACACGGCCCAGACUCCUACGGGAGGCAGCAGUGGGGAAUAUUGGACAAUGGGCGCAAGCCUGAUCUAGCCAUACCGCGUGAGUGAUGAAGGCCUUAGGGUCGUAAAGCUCUUUCGCCAGGGAAGAUAAUGACUGUACCUGGUAAAGAAGUCCCGGCUAACUCCGUG